rnacentral:ncRNA from 1 species
UUUUUUAAGAGUUUGAUCCUGGCUCAGGAUGAACGCUGGCGGCGUGCCUUAGGCAUGCAAGUCGAACGGCCGGAGAUCAGAAACCGGAAGUCGGAUGCCGGAAUUCAGAAAUCGGAUUUGCUAUAGUUGUGUGUAUGGAGGUAAGUAAAUUAAGGGUUUACAGACAAUGUCUGCAAGCUUUUCAGAUGGUUGAAGAUAUUGCUAAGGAUUUACCCCCAGAGCUAUUUGACACAAAAAGACAAAUAUUGCGCAGUUCAAAAGCUAUUGCGCCAAUAAUUGCCGAAGGUUUUGGCAGAAAAAGAUCUCAACGCGAGUUCUAUAAAUACGUUAUAGAUGCUAUGAGUUCUUCUGAUGAAACCAUUACACAUUUACGUACUAUUGCAAUGUCCAAAUUUAAUACAAUUCCGAUUGAGAAAUUGAAGAAAACUGCAGAAGUGUACAAGUCUAUUUCUAGACAGCUUAAUAAAUUAUCUUCAACUAUUAAAUCGAAGCUUGUAUGGUAUCUGAUCUCCGGCAGUGGCGGAAGGGUGAGUAACGCGUGGGAACGUACCUUUUGGUGGAGCAUAGCCUUCCGAAAGGAGGGGUAAUACUGCAUAAUCCCAAGGCUUCGCCUUGUGAAAUUCGAAGCACGAAUAUCGAGACUCGAAACAAAUCACGAUGUUCAAAUUUUCAAAAUCCAAAACGUUUUGAUCAUUUGGAUUUUAGGAUUUAAGUAUUGUUUCGGAUUUCGGAUUUAGAAUUUAGAAUUUCCCAAAGUGGAGCUUUGGGCAAAGGGCUUAACCGCCCGCCGAAAGAGCGGCCUACGUCCUAUCAGCUUGUUGGUGGGGUAAAAGCCUACCAAGGCGAUGACGGGUAGCUGGACUGAGAGGUCGGUCAGCCACAAGGGAACUGAGACACGGUCCCUACACCUACGGGUGGCAGCAACUAGGAAUUUUGGACAAUGGGCGAAAGCCUGAUCCAGCGACGCCGCGUGGGGGAAGAAGGCCUUCGGGUUGUAAACUCCUUUUGUCCCGUGUAAUGCGGGAAGAAUAAGCACCUGCUAACUACGUGCCAGCAGCCGCGGUGAGACGUAGGGUGCAAGCGUUAUCCGGAUUUACUGGGCGUAAAGGGUUGCGUAGGCGUCCAGCUGCAUCUUGUCUGAAAGCCCUCCGCUUAACGGGGGAUCCGGACAGGAAAUGGGCUGGAUUUGAGGUUCAUAGAGGUAGCCGGAACUUGCAGUGGAGCGGUGAAAUGCGUUGAUAUUGCAAGGAACACCGAUGGCGUAGGCAGGCUACUGGGUGAAAUCUGACGCUGAUGCACGAAAGCUAGGGGAGCGAAGCGGAUUAGAGACCCGCGUAGUCCUAGCCGUAAACGAUGGACACUAGCUGUCCGCCAAUUGGUGGAUGGCGCAAGCUAACGCGUUAAGUGUCCCGCCUGGGGAGUACGGCCGCAAGGCUAAAACUCAAAGGAAUUGACGGGGACCCGCACAAGCGGUGGAGCAUG